AGGACGAACGCUGGCGGCGUGCUUAACACAUGCAAGUCGAGCGGAAAGGCCCUUCGGGGUACUCGAGCGGCGAACGGGUGAGUAACACGUGAGCAACCUGCCCUUGGCUCUGGGAUAGCCUCCGGAAACGGGGAUUAAUACCGGACAUUCACUUUCUCCUGCAUGGGGGGUUGGUGGAAAGUUUUUCGGCCAGGGAGGGGCUCGCGGCCUAUCAGCUUGUUGGCGGGGUAACGGCCCACCAAGGCGACGACGGGUAG
rnacentral:rRNA from 1 species